UUCCGGUUGAUCCUGCCGGAGGCCAUUGCUAUCGGAAUCCGAUUUAGCCAUGCUAGUCGCACGGGUCAGACCCGUGGCAGACAGCUCAGUAACACGUGGCCAAACUACCCUGUGGACGGGGAUAAUCUCGGGAAACUGAGGCUAAUCCUCGAUAGGGCUUCCAUCCUGGAGUGGAGGAAGUCCAAAAGUUGCGCUGCGGCACCACAGGAUGUGGCUGCGGCCGAUUAGGUAGACGGUGGGGUAACGGCCCACCGUGCCAGUAAUCGGUACGGGUGAUGAGAGUCAGAGCCCGGAGACGGUAUCUGAGACAAGAUACCGGGCCCUACGGGGCGCAGCAGGCGCGAAACCUUUACACUGCACGACAGUGCGAUAGGGGGAUUCCGAGUGCGAGGGCAUACAGUCCUCGCUUUUCUGGACCGUAAGGAGGUCAAGGAACAAGGGCUGGGCAAGACCGGUGCCAGCCGCCGCGGUAAUACCGGCAGCCCGAGUGAUGGCCGAUAUUAUUGGGCCUAAAGCGACCGUAGCUGGCCAGACAAGUCCGUUGGGAAAUCCACGCGCUCAACGCGUGGGCGUCCAGCGGAAACUGUCUGGCUUGGGGUCGGAGGACUCGAGGGGUACGUCCGGGGUAGGAGUGAAAUCCCGUAAUCCUGGACGGACCACCGGUGGCGAAAGCGCCUCGAGAGGACGGACCCGACAGUGAGGGACGAAAGCCAGGGUCUCGAACCGGAUUAGAUACCCCGGUAGUC
rnacentral:rRNA from 1 species